rnacentral:lncRNA from 1 species
CGUAUACUCAAAAUAUUGCCCACCUGAAGACCUUACUCAAAAUCUCCCGUCAAAGCGGAGUUACUUACUUCCUUGCUCUGCUUGUGUCUUCAGGGAUCAUCAUCACCAUCGAGAGUUCAUGUCAUAAAAUGAAUCUCGAUUAGAAACUCAUUAACAAAUCUCAUGCCUUAACUCUUGCUCUAUCUCACAUUCUAUCUCCUUAUUCAACUCUAUAUAGACUCUCCACUCAUCUCAAAUCCUUAAGCUCAAGGAUAGGUUUCAAGAAAAUCAUGGUUCUAAGUCUCGAUUUAUCUCUCAUAUAAGACUCGUCUAAUUUUCACUCAAACACAUAGGCAACACAAACACGUAAGGCACAUAAGAAAAUACAAUCAAACAUCAUCAAAACAUGCUCUGUUUACACACUGACUCAACUUCAAAAAUUAACCAGUUCUGACUCCGACAUCUCCUGGACUCGAGACUCAUACCAAAAGAAAGGUCUUCGAGUCUAGUUUCAUAUAAAAAAAAGUAGAGUCAAAAACUCCAAGUGGUUUGGGAGAUAUGACUGUUUUACUACAGUCUACCAUAUUCGGCAGUUUUGAGCAAUCGAAAACUUUGAUUUUUGAAAAAUAGUAAAUGUUGUCAAACUGGGCUCAAAUUUGGUGGAUAUCUAUCUAACACAAUAAGGUUAAUACCAUAAAAAUUUGGAAGGCUAGAUUACACAGGAAGCCACUGAAAAUAAUGACUCUUUCCCCUGUUCUCUGCAACUCUCGGUAGAAAUGUGCAGUUUAAGUUUUGUAUUUUAUAAAAAUAGUAAAUGAAGUCCAAAUGACUUGAAAUUUUACAGGGAUGCUCAAGACUCAUGUAGAGACGUUCUAUAAAAUUUUCAAAGCUUUUUGACAUCGAAAAACCGUCGAUCACAGUAGGUCAGUAAGCCUACGAAAAUCACCAAAAUCUCAUCUCAAACUCUUAAAUGCUCAACUCAACAUUCCUUCAAAGAAAACCAAUCAAAGCUCAUCUUAAACACAUAUAACACUCACAAACAUUCAAAAACAUUAUAAUACUCAUCAUACUCAAAUUAACUCUCCUCUUUUACAUCUUAACUCAAAUCUCAAGGGAAACGUUUCAACGAACGCAUCAAUUCAAUUCUCUUUUCAUUCUCAUGCUCAAAAUUACCCAAACACUCAUUAAUGACCUCAUACAUCAUAUAACUCAUUUUACACAUAUAAAUCCCCUUUUUAUCAUGUAAACUAAACUCUAAUGAUAACUCAUGUAUCAACGCAAACUCUUAACAAAAGCAUGACAAACGUUCACAUAAUGAUCAUAAAUCAAUUAGACCUCAUUUUAUCAUUCAUUGACCUCUCCAAAUAUGAAAACUCAAAAACUCAUUCAAACUAAACUAAGUCCAAAUUUUACUUAGCUUACAAUAGACUUAAUCAAACAUAUUAAAACACUAAUAUCAUGCUCAAUUUCAUAUAUCUUAAGUCAAAUCACUUAAUAGACACAUAAGCAAGAAAAUCCUAAUUUUUAUUAAACUAAACUCUUUGAAAUUUUAUAAACACACAUGGAUCUUUAAUCUCAUCAUAGAUCUAUCAAUUUUAACCCAUUUAUUCUCACAUAAAAACCAUCAAUUAACAAAUUAGAGCAUAGAUACACAUAUCCCUAAUUUUAUUAAACUAACUCACAUCAAACUCAUCAAUUGACAUCAUAUACUCAAUUUAUUCCAUCAAUCAUCAUCAUAUACAUCUCAUGGACUCAUCCUCAUCAUCAAUUCAUCACUUCAAUCAUCAACUCAAAAAUUCCCAAAUUGGGGUAAACUAAACUCAUCCGAUUUUUACAUCUCAAAGCAUAGCUUUUCAAAACACACAACAAUCAUCACCAAACAUCACAUAGAUCACUUUUCUCACCCCAAUUCAAAGAAAGAAGAAGAAAAUUUUUUGAAGGGUAUGAGACCCAAAUUUUCGAAAAUUUAGAAAAAUGAAGGGGGUGAUUUUCUUGCUUCAAAUUCUCAAGAAUACACACAUACAAUCUCAUACAAGUCAUAUCUAUGAAUUUAUACAUCACUUACCCAAACUUUACACCAACAAUCACACUUUCUCUCUCUAGCCUUGGAAGCAAUCUCCAAUGAUUCUCUUGAAUUCAAGUAGCUAGGAUGUGUUUAUGUGGGAUUUUGUUGGUGAUUUAUGUGUUUGGCAUAUUUUGGUGAAGCUUCGAAGGUCUCUCCCAUGGUUGACAAUGGAGGAAAUGUGAGAGAGAAGGGAGAGAGGUGGUGGUCGAAAGUUAGGGAGGAAAGGAGAGAGAGA